CGACCUGCUGCGGGCAGAUAAAAUGAAUAUGCGCAUCGAUCGCACCCGCGGUCAGGAUCUGACCCUCACCGGCAAUCGCCUCGGUGCCCGGCCCGAUCACGAUAUCGACACCGGGCUGAAUAUCCGGGUUACCGGCCUUGCCGAUCGCGCUGAUGCGGCCGUCCUUGAUACCAAUAUCGGCCUUGAUGAUGCCCCAGUGGUCGAGUAUCAGUGCGUUGGUGAUCACCACAUCAACCACUUCAUCGGAACAACGCUGGCUUUGCCCCAUGCCGUCACG
rnacentral:sRNA from 1 species